CUGACUUGUAAAGAAGAUUGAAUUGUUGCAACAACUUUUAUCGGACUUGAAAAAAAUGAAUUUGAUCUCUUCAAAUACCAGCAAUGUAAUUGAGUGCUUCUCUCCCUACCUCCGUACUUCAUGUGGUUGUACAUGGCGGCAGCGUGGGUGACUGAAUUUCCAGUUUUUUCUAGGUUUAUAGGUUUUUCAAUAACUUCUGCUGAUGAGAUGCAGCAACAUGAGGAGAAGAUAGAAAUUAAAAAGAGAAAGAAAAUAUGCAGCAUCAGAGGGUGUAUUAACGAAAACAGCAGGAUGUUCUCCUUCCCCCAAGAGAGAAAGGAUAAGAAGAGGCGCAGUGGGUGGAAGUAUGUGACAAUCCAAAGUCGAUGCUUCCACCUAAAAACUGAAAUUCCGGGUGAUUUGUAGCAGCUACUUUAAAGAAAAAUACUUCAUGAGAAAAAGAUUAACAACAUCAGCAGUUCCAACACUGAACUUACUUGUGUCAGAGGCUACCUCUAUUAAAAUAGAGCGACAAGACAC